GAUCUCAAAUCAGGUAGGACUACCCGCUGAACUUAAGCAUAUCAAUAAGNCGGAGGAA
rnacentral:rRNA from 1 species